AAGGAUUUGGCUUUGCUUACUUUGUCUGAGAACUUUAUUUCUAAAAAUAAGCCUAUUUCUUCCUUAGCUAGCUCUUUACAAAGAUGCCUUUUCACCCUUGAUUCAAGGCACUUUGGAGGGACUAUGGAGUUAAACAAGGAUAUUUGUUGUGACUUUGGUUUUUUUUUCUAGGUUUGGAGUUCUGCUUUCACCAAAGCCAAGCUUGCAGCAUGAUUUUGAAAAAAGAGACUGGGAAAUGCUGCUAUUGGAGGCAACUUAUUGUGUUGGUGUAAAUCUUUAUAGCCAAGGAGCUAGAGAAAAAUUUAUAGAACAGCAUUUGUGUAUGAAUUUAAUUUAAAAAGCAAACGUUGCUGUAAUGCAAGCCUCAGCUACACACUACGCGUUUGGAAAUCAGUUUAUCAUGUUUUGGCAGCUUCCAAAUCUUAACUGCAGGUGGCAAUAUUGUAAACUACUAGGCUACAAGUGUAUUUCAUUUACUGUCUUUGAAUUCUGCUACUAUUCAUUUUAAACUACUUGAGCAGUUGCAUUUUGUUUAACAAAACUGGAACCUCCCCCUUCUAUUCAAUUCAAGGGUUCCUGGGGCAAUACAGGGAACCUGCUUGACUUUGUGUGUACUGGGGGGAGGUUUUGUUUUAUUUGUAUAUGACUUGUCUGCUAGCCUGGCUG